rnacentral:rRNA from 1 species
UACGAAGGGAGCUAGCGUUGUUCGGAAUCACUGGGCGUAAAGCGCAUGUAGGCGGCUGUGUCAGUCAGGGGUGAAAUCCCGGAGCUCAACUUCGGAACUGCCCUUGAUACAGCACGUCUUGAGUCCGGAAGAGGUGGGUGGAAUUCCUAGUGUAGAGGUGAAAUUCGUAGAUAUUAGGAAGAACACCGGUGGCGAAGGCGGCCCACUGGUCCGGUACUGACGCUGAGGUGCGAAAGCGUGGGGAGCAAACAGG